CGGCUUCGGGCCGAGUGCUGCA
rnacentral:siRNA from 1 species